UACAGAGGGGGCAAGCGUUGUUCGGAAUUACUGGGCGUAAAGGGCGCGUAGGCGGCCUUCUAAGUCGAACGUGAAAUCCCUGGGCUCAACCCAGGAACUGCGUCCGAUACUGGAUGGCUUGAAUUCGGGAGAGGGAUGCAGAAUUCCAGGUGUAGCGGUGAAAUGCGUAGAUAUCUGGAGGAAUACCGGUGGCGAAGGCGGCAUCCUGGACCGACAUUGACGCUGAGGAGCGAAAGCUAGGGGAGCAAACGGG
rnacentral:rRNA from 1 species